rnacentral:pre_miRNA from 1 species
AUAUUAAUCACCUGGGGAUCCUGUUACAAUAUAGUUUCUGAAUUUGUAAAUUUGAACUAGAAAUGUGAUUUUGCAUUUUUAACAAGUUUCCGAAUGAUGAUAAG